UAUUAGGAGAUGGUAUAAAGUGUAUGUUGUAAUGUGUAGGAUAUAUACAAAGAUACAUACUUGAAAGUCCGUAGAGGAAACAAAUUUUUAUGCCUUCUGUUUGACUGUUUGUCAUAUAUUUGGUUUUAUUUCCCAGGGAUCAGUGAAUUUUAACUCUGGAGUCCUCUAUGCUAAGGAUGCUCAGCUUACAGAUGAUGAAAUGUUCAGUAAUGUAUUUGCUGGAGCUGUGCUUACCCAAGGUUUGGGUAAAACAAGCUUUGGGUUCCUUCUGUCUCACUGGGAGUUGCCCAAUUCAGUUGCAUCUGGUGAAAUUCACCCUGAGACCUUACAGAACUAGCUCCAACUACGUGAGAGCCAUUUGCAGUUCUCUCCAGACACCUGGAGAAUGGGCGACGUUUCUGAGGAUCCGGCGAGCGUGCUUCUGUCAAAACUCAGUCUGUGAAAUUUCUGGGGAAAACACUUCUGUGUCCUGAAGGGUUCAAACUCUGGUGAGGAUCCAGUUAUCAGGUGCUCACCUGGAUGGUUCCAGCUCCCAAAGGGAAAGGCUCUCGUAUCCUUGUCGUCGGGCUCGGUGCUGUCCAAGAAGAUACAGAGACUAAAAAAUCAUAAGAAGCAAAAUAUGACUGCAGGGAAAAGAAGCUGGAGAGAACAGAAGACAUUGCUCCACUCCCCAGAGGAUUAUUGUGAGCAGAUGUGAGCUCUGCUGUCCCUUUGGACUGACAAAGACAGAGGUUUUGUCCCAAGUUGCUUUUGAACCUGUCCUGCACCCGUUACGAGUCCUCAGUCUCCUGCAAUUUUGUGGGUCAGUCACAUGUAAAACAGCACAGCUGGCUGGCAUGCUUUGCUCAUGAGGGGAGACAAGAGAAGAAUCCCUCUGCUCACACCAGACCUGCAGCUGCCAAACCUCACCAAAGCACCUGAGGAGCCCCCAGGGACUGAUGGUACAGAAGGGAGGUGAUGGAGGACAGCACAGCAGGCAGCCUGCCCUCCAUCUGGCUGUGAAGAAGGCAGGGCUGGGAACUGUCAGCAACAUCCCAGCAGGUCUGGCUGAUGGUGCCACCCUGAGGGCUUCCCCUGCCUUUGGGCAGUCCCAGCUGCUGCAGCUCACUUGACAGAGACUCAUUGUCUAUACUGUGCUUGGCUGCACUGGAGAUGAUGAAGCCGAGGACAGCAAUGGUUGCCUUCACAUCCCCUGACUGCAGAUGGGAAGGAGGGCGAGCUCUGUCACCUUGGGAAGGCCUCUGCAGAGUCACUGCUGC